rnacentral:rRNA from 1 species
AUGGGCGAAAGCCUGAUGCAGCGACGCCGCGUGAGGGAUGACGGCCUUCGGGGUUGUAAACCUCUUUCCAGUAGGGAAGAAGCGAAAGUGACGGUACCUGCAGAAGAAGCGCCGGCUAACUACGUGCCAGCAGCCGCGGUAAUACGUAGGGCGCAAGCGUUAUCCGGAAUUAUUGGGCGUAAAGAGCUCGUAGGCGGUUUGUCGCGUCUGCCGUGAAAGUCCGGGGCUCAACUCCGGAUCUGCGGUGGGUACGGGCAGACUAGAGUGAUGUAGGGGAGACUGGAAUUCCUGGUGUAGCGGUGAAAUGCGCAGAUAUCAGGAGGAACACCGAUGGCGAAGGCAGGUCUCUGGGCAUUAACUGACGCUGAGGAGCGAAAGCAUGGGGAGCGAACAGGAUUAGAUACCCUGGUAGUCCAUGCCGUAAACGUUGGGCACUAGGUGUGGGGGACAUUCCACGUUUUCCGCGCCGUAGCUAACGCAUUAAGUGCCCCGCCUGGGGAGUACGGCCGCAAGGCUAAAACUCAAAGGAAUUGACGGGGGCCCGCACAAGCGGCGGAGCAUGCGGAUUAAUUCGAUGCAACGCGAAGAACCUUACCAAGGCUUGACAUGAACCGGUAAUACCUGGAAACAGGUGCCCCGCUUGCGGUCGGUUUACAGGUGGUGCAUGGUUGUCGUCAGCUCGUGUCGUGAGAUGUUGGGUUAAGUCCCGCAACGAGCGCAACCCUCGUUCUAUGUUGCCAGCGCGUUAUGGCGGGGACUCAUAGGAGACUGCCGGGGUCAACUCGGAGGAAGGUGGGGACGACGUCAAAUCAUCAUGCCCCUUAUGUCUUGGGCUUCACGCAUGCUACAAUGGCCGGUACAAAGGGUUGCGAUACUGUGAGGUGGAGCUAAUCCCAAAAAGCCGGUCUCAGUUCGGAUUGGGGUCUGCAACUCGACCCCAUGAAGUCGGAGUCGCUAGUAAUCGCAGAUCAGCAACGCUGCGGUGAAUACGUUCCCGGGCCUUGUACACACCGCCCGUCAAGUCACGAAAGUUGGUAACACCCGAAGCCGGUGGCCUAACCCCUUGUGGGAGGGAGCUUU